GAAUGAUGGCGGAGCUGGCUGCCUUGUCAUCCUUCUCGAAAAUUCUGUGGCCAGUGAGCUCCCUCUUCCUCUCCCACUCGCCCUCUUUUCCUUUUCACCACUGCAGGGACUUUUUCUAAUUUGCCGUUUUCCUUUUCCCAAUGUACACAUGGUAGAUGCAAGCUGGUGGCUUGCAGACUGCGUCUGUCGGGAGAUAGGCAGCGAGCCGAUGGAUAAUAACGCUCCGGGAGAAUGAUUAUGCAGCAGUUAGUUAAGGAUAGGCUUUUGUGGUAUGGCAGCAUAUGAGCUGAUUCUCCAGCCUUUUGUCUCUGACGAGGCGCACUGAUUGGGAUCUGCUUAUUCCACAGAUCAAAAAG